GAGGGUAUAACUCAGUGGUAGAGUGCAUGCUUAGCAUGCACGAGGUCCCUGGGUUCAAUCCCCAGUACCGCCA
rnacentral:tRNA from 1 species